CCUCGGGUGGCAGCAGUGGGGAAUAUUGGACAAUGGGCGAAAGCCUGAUCCAGCCAUGCCGCGUGUGUGAAGAAGGCCUUCGGGUUGUAAAGCACUUUCAGUGGGGAAGAAAGCCUUGGGGCUAAUACCCUCGAGGAAGGACAUCACCCACAGAAGAAGCACCGGCUAACUCCGUGCCAGCAGCCGCGGUAAUACGGAGGGUGCGAGCGUUAAUCGGAAUUACUGGGCGUAAAGCGCGCGUAGGCGGUCUGAUAAGCCGGUUGUGAAAGCCCCGGGCUCAACCUGGGAACGGCAUCCGGAACUGUCAGGCUAGAGUGCAGGAGAGGAAGGUAGAAUUCCCGGUGUAGCGGUGAAAUGCGUAGAGAUCGGGAGGAAUACCAGUGGCGAAGGCGGCCUUCUGGACUGACACUGACGCUGAGGUGCGAAAGCGUGGGUAGCAGACAGGAUUAGAUACCCGAGUAGUC
rnacentral:rRNA from 1 species